rnacentral:misc_RNA from 1 species
UACGGGGGGAGCGAGCGUUAUUCGGUCAAAUUGGGCGUAAAGGGCCUGUAGGCAGAAUUUUGUAGGUAAUUAGUGAAAUAUCAGAGCUUAACUCUGAGAAAGCUUUUUAAACUAUUUUUUCUGGGAUAGUAUACGGGAUAGUUUUAUUUCUUAAGUAAGGAUGGAAUCUUUAGAUAAAAGAAAGAAGAUCUUGGGUGAAAACAACUAUCUAGUUUCAUUUAUCGACGCUGAGAGGCUAAAGCACGGGGAGCAAACAGG